AUGAAAGGAUUUCAUGCCUCCUCCUUGGCUUUACUCCUCUCCUGUCUGCUCUGUCUAGCUCGGAGGAAGGUACUGCACUGUGCCAAUGAGCUACUGACACACAAGUAUGACGUGCCUCCCUACUUCAAGACAGAGCCAGUGCGUAGCCAGCUCCAUCUGGAACGUAACAGGCUGGUGCUGACCUGCAUGGCGGAGGGAAGCUGGCCACUAGAGUUUAAAUGGAUCCACAAUAGCACAGAAUUAACACGCUUUUCACUGGAGUACAGGUACCUAAUCCCUUCACUGGACCGCUCCCAUGCUGGCUUUUACCGCUGCAUUGUGAGAAAUCGGGUGGGAGCCCUUCUGCAGAGGCGCACAGAAGUACAAGUGGCCUUUAUGGGCAGUUUUGAGGAAGGCGAACGCACCCAGUCAGUCUCUCAGGGAGAGGGUGCUGUGAUUCCAGCGCCACGCAUCCGCAGCUUCCCUCAGCCACAAGUCACCUGGUUCAGAGAUGGGCGCAAGAUUCCACCCAGCAGCCGCAUUGCCAUUACUUUGGACAACACGCUGGUUAUCUUGUCUACUGUGGCACCGGAUGCCGGACGCUACUAUGUGCAAGCUGUAAAUGACAAGAAUGGAGAGAACAAGACCAGCCAGCCCAUCACCUUGUCAGUAGAGAAUGUUGGCGGUCCAGCAGAUCCCAUUGCCCCCACCAUUAUCAUCCCUCCCAGGAACACCAGUGUGGUCACAGGCACAUCAGAGGUCACGAUGGAGUGUGUGGCCAAUGCCAGACCUCUUAUCAAGCUGAGUAUCUCAUGGCGUAAGAACGGCGUGUUGGUGAACAGCGGUUUGAGUGACUUCAACCGCAGACUGACCAUCCUGAGUCCUGUGGUGAGCGACGCCGGCUACUACGAGUGUGAGGCCAUUCUCCGCAGCAGCAGCGUGCCUUCAGUCAGUGCUGGGGCUUAUCUGCAUCCACCACAGUUUAUAAAGGAACCGGAGAAACACAUCACAGCUGAGAUGGAGAAGGUGGUUGACAUUCCCUGUCAGGCACGGGGAGUGCCCCAGCCAGACAUUGUGUGGUACAAGGAUGCUUUGCCUAUCGACCCAGUGAGGACACCCAGGUACAGGGUGUUGGUGGGCGGCAGCCUCCAGGUCAACGGCCUACUGCCUGAUGACACCGGCAUGUUCCAGUGCUUUGCCCGAAAUUCAGCCGGAGAAGUUCAGACCAACACUUACCUGGCUGUUACAAGCAUUGCCCCGAAUAUCACAGCCGGACCCUCUGAUAGCACUGUGAUCGACGGGAUGUCAGUCAUUCUGCACUGUGAGACCUCUGGAGCUCCAAGGCCAGCUAUCACCUGGCAAAAAGGUGAGCGCGUGUUAGCCAGCGGUUCAGUCCAGCUGCCCCGGUUCACCCUGCUUGAAUCGGGCAGCUUGCUCAUCUCGCCUUCACACAUCUCUGAUGCCGGGACCUACACUUGCAUGGCAAGCAACUCCAGGGGCAUUGACGAGGCAUCUGCUGACCUUGUUGUUUGGGCUCGCACUCGGAUUACCACCCCCCCACAGGACCAGAGCGUUAUCAAAGGAACUAAAGCCAUUAUGAACUGUGGAGUCACACACGACCCAAGUGUGACAGUCAGGCAUGUCUGGGAAAAAGAGGGCUCAGUCAUAAACGUUCAGUCCAUCCCCCGCAUGCGGCUAGAUGCAGAUGGUACGCUUCACAUCUCCCAAACCUGGUCAGGUGACAUAGGCACCUACACAUGCCGAGUGACCUCUGUUGGAGGCAACGACUCCCGCAGCGCGCACCUCCGUGUCAGACAGUUGCCCCAUGCCCCAGAGAACCCUACGGCCGUGCUGAGCAAAUCUGAAAAAAGAGCCAUCGACCUGGCUUGGGCCAAGCCUUUUGAUGGCAACAGUCCCCUCAUACGCUAUAUCCUGGAGGUUUCUGAGAACAAUGCUCCCUGGGCCAUCCUGCUGGCCAAUAUUGAACCUGAGUCCACAGCAGUGACGGUCAACGGCUUGAUCCCAGCUCGCUCCUAUCAGUUCCGCCUCUGUGCUGUUAAUGAUGUGGGGAAGGGACAGUUUAGCAAGGAGACAGACCGGGUCUCUCUCCCAGAGGAGCCCCCCAGUGCUCCUCCUCAAAAUGUCAUUGCUAGUGGUCGAACCAACCAAUCUAUCAUGAUCCAGUGGCAGCCUCCGCCGGAAAGCCACCAGAACGGCAUCCUCAGAGGCUACAUCGUUCGGUACCGUCUCACUGGGCUGCCUGUGGACAACCAAAUCAAGAACAUUUCCAGCCCGGAUGUGACCACGCUGCUGCUGGAAGACCUCAUCAUCUGGACCAAUUAUGAGAUUGAGGUGGCUGCCUAUAAUGGGGCAGGUUUGGGCACUUUCAGCCAUAAGGUUACUGAGUGGACCCUGCAAGGAGUGCCCACCAUAGCUCCAGGCAACGUGCAGGCCGAGGCGGUCAACUCAACAACUAUCCGUUUUACGUGGACAGCCCCUAACCCCCAGUUCAUCAACGGCAUUAACCAGGGCUACAAGUUGCUGGCCUGGGAACCUGGCAAGGAUGACGAAGUUGCCAUGGUAACAGUACGACCGAACUUCCAGGACAGCGUCCAUGUGGGAUAUGUGACAGGUCUGAAGAAGUUCACUGAGUAUUACACCUCUGUGCUGUGCUUCACGACACCCGGAGACGGCCCCCGCAGCCCGCCUAAAGCAUUGAGGACGCAUGAGGACACCCCCGGUGCAGUGGGUCAUCUGAGUUUCACCGAGAUUUUGGACACCUCACUCAAAGUCAGCUGGAGUGAGCCCAGCGAGAAGAAUGGAGUUCUCACAGGUUACCGCAUUUCUUGGGAGGAGUACAACCGAACAAACACCAGAGUCACCCACUACCUGCCCAAUGUCACCUUAGAGUACAGGGUCACUGGGCUCACUGCUCUCACCACCUACACUAUUGAAGUGGCAGGAAUGACCUCCAAGGGCCAGGGCAUGCUGUCCUCCUCCACCAUUUCCUCCGGUGUCCCACCAGAGCUUCCUGGCCCUCCUACCAACAUGGCAAUUUCCAAUAUUGGCCCACGCUCCAUCAAUCUGCAGUUCAAACCUGGCUAUGAUGGCAAAACUUCUAUUUCCCGCUGGCUAGUGGAGGCCCAGGUGGGUGCGGUAGGAGAAAAUGAGGAUUGGUUGAUGGUCCACCAGGUGUUCAACGAACCUGAGGCUCGCUCCUUAGAGGUGCCAGGUCUCAACCCAUAUACCUUUUACAGGUUUCGCAUGCGUCAGGUGAACAUAGUGGGUACCAGUCCUCCCAGCCAGCCCUCCAGAAAAAUUCAGACCCUACCAGCUCCUCCCGACAUGGCCCCUGCCAACGUCACCCUGCGCACCGCUAGCGAAACAAGCCUCUGGUUACGAUGGAUGCCGGACAGGAAUGGGCUCAUUCUGGGCUACAAGGUCUAUUUCUGCUUUUUAGAUUUGGCAUCUGGAAAAAACUUGAAAAAAGACUCGGACAGUCCAGUCCACUUCUGGACAGUAGAGGGAAAUGCCACUCACAGUGUCCAGCUGACUGGUCUGGGGAAAUAUGUGCUCUAUGAGAUCCAAGUUCUGGCAUUCACACGGAUUGGAGAUGGACGGCCGAGCUCUCCACCUAUUCUUGAAAGGACCUUGGAUGAUGUCCCAGGACCUCCAGUGGGUAUCCUGUUCCCUGAAGUCCGAACCACCUCAGUCCGCCUUAUUUGGCAGUCCCCUGCCCAGCCGAAUGGCAUUAUACUUGCCUACCAGAUCACGUACCACCUCAACUCCACCAAUAGCAACACAGCCACAGUGGAUGUGCUGAACCCCAGCGCCCGCCAGUACACGGUGACUAACCUCAAGCCAGAAACUGUCUAUGUGUUUCGCAUCACGGCACAGACAAGGAAAGGCUGGGGUGAGGCGGCCGAGGCACUCGUGGUUACCACGGAGAAAAGAGCUCGUCCUCAGCCUACCAGCCGCCCCCUGGUUCCUCAAAAACACGUUCAGGCUCGCCAGGUGUUACUUUCAUGGGAGCCUGGUAGUGACGGCCUGUCCCCCGUGCGUUACUAUACGGUCCAGCUAAGAGAGCUUCCUGAAAGCAACUGGACAGUCCACUCAGCAUCUGUCAGCCACGAGGCCACAACCUACAUAGUAUCCAGGCUGAAACCCUUCACAUCUUACCAGUUCAGAAUAAAAGCCACCAAUGACAUAGGGGACAGCGAGUACAGUCAGGAAAGUGAAGCAAUCACAACUCUACAGGAUGUGCCUGACGAAGCACCCUCGAUUCUCUCUGUCACGCCACACACAACAACGUCAGUGCUGAUCCGCUGGCAGGUAAGAACAAACAAAAUAACUUUAUAUAUAUAUUUUACUGUUUUCAAACUCCAUGAUCUAUUCGAGUGUGGGGAAGUGGCUUCUAAGAGACUAAGUAAACACAAGCGUUAUGAGAUACGCAUGAGUGUGUACAACGCCGUGGGUGAGGGGCCAACCAGCCCUCCACAGGAGGUGUUUGUUGGAGAAGCAGUGCCGACGGCCCCACCCCAGAAUGUGGCUAUUCAGUCCGCAACAGCCACCCAGCUGGAUGUGACGUGGGACCCUCCACCUGUGGAUGCGCAGAAUGGAGACAUCCAGGGAUACAAGAUUUACUUUUGGGAAUUCCAGCGUAAGAACGAGACUGAGCGGAUGCGGACUCUGUUUAUGCCUGAAGGAGGGGUGAAGCUGAAGAACUUGACUGGUUACACCACCUAUAUGAUCAGUGUGGCUCCAUUCAACGCUGCUGGGGACGGACCCCGAAGCCCACCAACGAGGGGACGCACUCAGCAAGCAGCUCCCAGUGCUCCCAGCUUCAUUCACUUCAGUGAACUGACCACCACCUCUGUCAAUGUGUCCUGGGGCGAGCCCACCUUCCCUAAUGGCAUCAUUGAGGGCUACCGUCUGGUCUAUGAACCCUCCACACCUGUAGAUGGCGUCAGUAAGACAGUGACGGUGGAUGUGAAGGGGACCGGCCCUCUCUGGUUGAAGAUCAGAGACCUGGCAGAUGGCGUCACGUACAACUUCCGCAUCCGGGCCAAGACCUUCAUCUACGGGCCUGAGGUGGAAGCAAAUAUCACCACGGGACCAGGGGAAGGUAGUGCCCCAGGGCCCCCUGGAGAGCCAUUUAUUACGCGCUACAGUUCGGGCCUCACCAUUCACUGGACCCCUGGAGACCCAGGACGUUCUCCCAUAACACGCUAUGUAAUUGAGGCCAGACCCUCAGAUGAGGGUUUGUGGGAUAUCUUAAUCAAGGACAUCUCCAAGGAUGCAACAUCGCACACAUUCAACAUGGACAUCCUGAAACAAGGUGUCAGUUAUGACUUUCGGGUCAUUGGAGUGAACGACUAUGGCUAUGGCUCUCCGAGUCUACCUUCUCCCUCCAUAUCUGCCCAAAAAGUGGCUCCUUUCUAUGAGGAAUGGUGGUUCCUGGUCGUGGUGGCUCUAGUGGGACUCAUCUUCAUUCUGCUGCUAGUUUUCAUCCUCAUUAUCAGAGGACAGAGCAAGAAGUAUGCAAAAAAGUCUGAAUCAGGUGACCUGGACGAAGGACGUUUCCCAGCUCUGGAACUUAACAAUCGACGGCUGUCUGUAAAAAACUCUUUCUGCAGGAAGAACGGCGUCUACACCAGGUCUCCUCCCAGGCCCAGCCCAGGCAGUCUUCACUACUCGGACGAGGACGUCAGCACCAAGUACAACGACCUGAUCCCUGCAGAGAGCAGCAGCCUGACUGAAAAACCCUCGGAAAUCUCAGACUCACAGCCGGAUCACUGCGCCCCACCACCCCAGCACAGCACCUUGUACAGGCCCCCCAGCAGUCUAGCCCCUGGCUCACGGGCCCCUAUUGCUGGCUUUUCCUCUUUUGUGUGA
ensembl:lncRNA